AAUCCAUAGGUUAAUGAGGCGAACCGGGGGAACUGAAACAUCUAAGUACCCCGAGGAAAAGAAAUCAACCGAGAUUCCCCCAGUAGCGGCGAGCGAACGGGGAGGAGCCCAGAGCCUGAAUCAGCAUGUGUGUUAGUGGAAGCGUCUGGAAAGGCGCGCGAUACAGGGUGACAGCCCCGUACACAAAAGCGCAUGUGCUGUGAGCUCGAUGAGUAGGGCGGGACACGUGGUAUCCUGUCUGAAUAUGGGGGGACCAUCCUCCAAGGCUAAAUACUCCUGACUGACCGAUAGUGAACCAGUACCGUGAGGGAAAGGCGAAAAGAACCCCGGCGAGGGGAGUGAAAAAGAACCUGAAACCGUGUACGUACAAGCAGUGGGAGCACCCUUUGGGGUGUGACUGCGUACCUUUUGUAUAAUGGGUCAGCGACUUAUAUUCUGUAGCAAGGUUAACCGAAUAGGGGAGCCGGAGGGAAACC
rnacentral:rRNA from 1 species